rnacentral:rRNA from 1 species
UCCGAUAGCAUAGCACAUUGAAUACAUCAGUUCCCAAUAGAUCACUGAUGUUAAGCACUGUUGCGUCUGGUUGCUAUCCAGAUUGGUAAUUGGAA